CCACUUUCUCUCUCAAAAAAUUUCUACGCACACCCCACCUCCCUAUCUCUUUUAAAAUAGUUCAAAACGUGUCUUAUCCGCGUGAGAGGAUAAAGAUAAGUGGUUGCACAUGUGAAUUCAAAUCAAAUUUGAAUUCAAAUGCAAACCAACUCAUCCCUAUCCACUUGGGCAUGAGAAGAGAAGGUGCGUGGCUGCUUUAUGUGUGGAAAGGUUUCAUGAGAAACUCUUUCUCAUGUAAGAUAUGGGGCGCUAAAGAGGAUAAGGACAUGGCGCAUGGAUUGGUUGCUCAUUCAAAUUCAAACUUUGUUUUGAAUUUGAAUGGCCAACCAACCAUCCUUAUCCACCUAUGUGGCG
rnacentral:lncRNA from 1 species